rnacentral:rRNA from 1 species
UAGGGAAUCUUCGGCAAUGGGGGCAACCCUGACCGAGCAACGCCGCGUGAGUGAAGAAGGUCUUCGGAUCGUAAAGCUCUGUUGUAAGAGAAGAACGUGUGUGAGAGUGGAAAGUUCACACAGUGACGGUAACUUACCAGAAAGGGACGGCUAACUACGUGCCAGCAGCCGCGGUAAUACGUAGGUCCCGAGCGUUGUCCGGAUUUAUUGGGCGUAAAGCGAGCGCAGGCGGUUUAAUAAGUCUGAAGUUAAAGGCAGUGGCUUAACCAUUGUUCGCUUUGGAAACUGUUAAACUUGAGUGCAGAAGAGGAGAGUGGAAUUCCAUGUGUAGCGGUGAAAUGCGUAGAUAUAUGGAGGAACACCGGUGGCGAAAGCGGCUCUCUGGUCUGUAACUGACGCUGAGGCUCGAAAGCGUGGGGAGCAAACAGG